CUUCCUUUUCUUGGCGGGGCUGGGAGGGAUGGGCUCUGGCCCCCUCAGCGUUAUGUCUUCAGUACCAGCGGCCACUGGUCUGCCAGUUCUAUCCUCAAGUGCUGGGACACAG
rnacentral:snoRNA from 1 species